rnacentral:rRNA from 1 species
AGUGAGCGCUGGCGGUAGGCCUAACACAUGCAAGUCGAACGGCAGCACAGUAAGAGCAUGCUCUUACGGGUGGCGAGUGGCGGACGGGUGAGGAAUACAUCGGAAUCUACUUUUUCGUGGGGGAUAACGUAGGGAAACUUACGCUAAUACCGCAUACGACCUACGGGUGAAAGCAGGGGAUCUUCGGACCUUGCGCGAUUGAAUGAGCCGAUGUCGGAUUAGCUAGUUGGCGGGGUAAAGGCCCACCAAGGCGACGAUCCGUAGCUGGUCUGAGAGGAUGAUCCGCCACACUGGAACUGGAGAACGGUCCAAACUCCUACGGGAAGCAGCAGGGGGGAAAAUUGGACAAUGGGGGGAAGCCUGAUCCAGCCAAACCGCGUGGGUGAAAGAGGCCUUCGGGUUGGAAAGCCCUUUUGGUGGGAAAGAAAAGCAGGAGGGUAAAACCCCGCUGGUCUUACGGUACCCAAAGAAUAAGCACCGGCUAACUUCGUG